rnacentral:precursor_RNA from 10 species
UGAGCCAUAUUGGCGUCGAAUCAGGAAAACAGGUCUGUUUUGGUGCAAACUUGGUUUCAUUGGCUAUAUUCCAAUUGCACUGAUCCCGGCCUGCUUGACUUGAAAAUGUCUUUAUUGCCAAUUA